rnacentral:lncRNA from 1 species
UGGUUGCGUCCACAGUCUCCCGCGCCUGCGCGGGUCUAGAGAUCGCGUCUCAAGCCCGGGGUGCCUCGGUUUCGCGCGCGCCCGACGAUCCCCAACUCUUGACGCGCUGCAGCCUCUCGCGACCCCCAGCGUCCCGAAGGAGGGGCUCUGCGGAGCCGCGCGCGCCGGCCGGUGAGUACCUGCCGCCUCCGGAGACCUUCAGCCCGCCCUCUUCCCGCCUCCUCCUCGGCUUCGGCGGGGCCACAGCCCACUUCUCACCCGCAGAGACGCCGAGGUAGGCCGCUCCCCACGCAGCGGCGGGCCUUUCCCGACGCCGGUGGGCCCCUCCGAAUGCUCUGGCCGGCCGCACCGGACUCUGGGGUGGACUGUUACUGCCCGCGAGCAAGGCCUCUUGGGAUGGCCGGGUGGGCUUCCGCCCUGGGGUGCCUGGCCGGACCCCCUCACACCCGGACGGCGGCCUUCAUCCUCCCGGGCAUACUUAUCUCCACUUCUCGUUCAUCUCCGAAAGACUACGGUUUUUUUUUUUGCUCACACUCCCUGGGAGUUGGCU